rnacentral:tRNA from 1 species
UCCAGGGUAGCCUAGUGGACAUGGCAUCUGCCCCGGUACGCGGAACACUGUGGGUUCGAUUCCCAUCCCUGGAC